UACGUAGGUGGCAAGCGUUGUCCGGAAUUAUUGGGCGUAAAGCGCGCGCAGGCGGUCCUUUAAGUCUGAUGUGAAAGCCCACGGCUCAACCGUGGAGGGUCAUUGGAAACUGGGGACUUGAGUGCAGAAGAGGAAAGCGGAAUUCCACGUGUAGCGGUGAAUGCGUAGAGAUGUGGAGGAACACCAGUGGCGAAGGCGGCUUCUGGUCUGUAACUGACGCUGAGGCGCGAAGCGUGGGAGCAAACAGG
rnacentral:rRNA from 1 species